UACGUAGGGUGCAAGCGUUAAUCGGAAUUACUGGGCGUAAAGCGUGCGCAGGCGGUUUUGUAAGUUUGUCGUGAAAUCCCCGGGCUCAACCUGGGAAUGGCGAUGAAGACUGCAAGGCUAGAAUCUGGCAGAGGGGGGGGUAGAAUUCCACGUGUAGCGGUGAAAUGCGUAGAUAUGUGGAGGAAUACCGAUGGCGAAGGCAGCCUCCUGGGCCCAACACU
rnacentral:rRNA from 1 species